UACGUAGGUGACAAGCGUUGUCCGGAUUUACUGGGCGUAAAGAGCGCGCAGGCGGUCGUUCAAGUCGCGUGUGAAAGCCCCCGGCUCAACUGGGGAGGGUCACGCGAUACUGAUCGACUCGAAGGCAGGAGAGGGUAGUGGAAUUCCCGGUGUAGUGGUGAAAUGCGUAGAUAUCGGGAGGAACACCAGUGGCGAAGGCGGCUCUCUGGACCACAACUGACGCUGAGGCGCGAAAGCUAGGGGAGCAAACAGG
rnacentral:rRNA from 1 species